rnacentral:lncRNA from 1 species
GCUAGGUGACGGAUUCUCACCUCACAGAGGCGGGCUCCAGUGACGUCAGGGGCCAGAGGGUAUAUCAUCAGGAGUUAGCCUGCCCUGGCUCAUAUCUGCUCCCCUCCCGACUCCUAGAGUUUUGGGGAGCUGGAGUACAUAUCUUGAGUUCCAAAGAUGCCAAGGGUCCACACCAACUUCCACUGGAGGCUCAGGCGCCGUAAGAAGUCCAGAAAGCGCUCAAGAAUAGUCCGCCCUGAGAAUCCCGGGCCGGCACCCAAGGUCUGCCGGAUUUUGCCAAUCAGGAGAAGAGUGGCCCUCCCUCCACCUGCAGAGUGGCGAGUCCACAGGGAAAUCCAACUGAUGUCAAUCAACCUGAUGGUAUUGAAGGAUGAAACCAAGAGGAGGAAGACAAGAUACUGGAAGAUGUCAAAGGCUCAGAACAGGGCUUGCCAGCAAAGUACGUCUCGAACUGGUAUUCAAUGAAAAAGUUCCUUCCCUCUGUCCAGCUGGAAGUCGUCCAUCUGCCUCCCGACGUGGUGGUGGGUCAGCAAGUCAGCAAAUCCCUGUCAAUCAGCAGUGUCUUCAAGCAAAUAUGAU